rnacentral:lncRNA from 1 species
CCCACCCCAAAUUCACAUGUUGAAGCCCUAACCUCCAAUGUGAUGGUAUUUGGAGAUGGGGCCUUUGGAAGGUAAUUAAGGCUAGAUAGGGUCACAAGGUUGGUCCCCUUAUGAUGGCAUUUGUGUUCUUAUACAAAGAGACAGGAGACUCUCUCCAUCAUGUGAAGAUACAGCAAAACAGCAGCUGUCUGCAAGCCAGGAAGGGAACCCUCACCAGGAACCAAACCAUGAUCUCGGACGUCCCAGCCUCUAGGAACAAAUUGGCUCUUCCUCCUGCUGGUCCUGAGGCACUCCAUGUUCAUCCUAAGAAAGGUCACUUGCUCUGGGGAAAGCCACCUGCCAUGCCGUGAGGACAUUCAAACUGCCUAUGGAGAGGUCCACAUAGUGAAAAACUAAGGCCCCUGCCAAAACCCAUGUGAGCCAUCUUGGAAACAGAUCCUUCAGCCCUAGGCAAGCCCUUAGAUAAUGUAGUGCCAGCCAACAUCUUGACAGCAGCCUGCAAGAGACUCUGAGUUAGAAACAACCAGCGAAGCCAUUCCUGAAUUCCUAAUCCUCAGAAUCAGCAUGAUAAUAGUAAAUGCUUAUUAUCAGAUACCAUCAGCAUAAUGUCAUCAAUGCAGUGGACCAGUGUGACAUGGGGAACAUAAAGAUGGUCACGAUUUUUGCAGACUCCAUAUGCAAAGUAUUAUAGGCCUUUCCAUCUAUCCGGAGUGACCUACCAGAGACAGGACAGUUUGACCAGCAAGCUUCUGAUCACUCUUCAACACCCAGCAAGAAGUCUUAUCCUCCAUGCAGCCUUCUAAGACCUCUCUAAGCACAGGUAUCAGAUCCUCCUCUGGAUCACUCUGUCUUGUUACUGCAUUUAUCUCACUGGAUUUCAGUGACGUGUGUAGACAACUAAUUUGUGCCUGCCUGAUCUGUGAGCUCUUCAUUCAAAGCAGUUGGCUCCUGAGUACAGGAUAAACCCCUAGAAUUGAAUAAAUUUGGUCUUACCUCA